CUGACUCAGCUGUGGUGAUUUGUGCUGCUGGUGCUAAGAGCAUGGUUUAGUUUUUGCAUCCACGUUGCUCCCAAGAGAGAUGCACAAGUCCAAGGGAUAAAAAUCUUCCAGCUGAAGCACUCCAUUCAGCACCAAUAAAAGAAGGACACAGGCAUGUUGAAUCAAGUCCAGAGGAAGCCAGUAAGAUAAGGAGAAGGCUGGAAAGCACCUCCUGCACAGACAGGCUGGGAGAGCUGGAGUUGUUCAUUCCACAGAAGAGAAAGCUCUGGGGAGAUUUUAUCAUAGCCUUUCAGUUUUGGACAAAGCAAAGGUGGAAAGUGAAAGAUAAAGAGGUGUUAGAUAUUUCCUUUGCACCCUUUCUGUGGCUGAACACACAGACGCACACUGGAGUGUAAAGCAGGGCUGGGCACAGGGCUGACUGAUGUGGCUAACUACAGGUGAGCUGAGGGCCUGAAACAGAGGAGCAAGCUCUGGCACAACCCUGGCUGCACCGAAAAAUCUUCAGGUUGGAGGUGUAAAGGAAGCUGAGGGCAAAGCAAACAGAAAAAUAAUGACAGUAUAAUAAGGAGGCUUAAUAUGGAAGCCACAUCAGUAUUUCUGUU